UUCCUUUUCAAAGGGGAGUAGCGUCAGGUUUUUAACCUGAAACAAAGUCGUCAUUUCAUGGAGUGCUAUCCAUCGGCUUUGUUGACAUGAUACAUGUU
rnacentral:sRNA from 1 species